rnacentral:rRNA from 1 species
AGAGUUUGAUCAUGGCUCAGGAUGAACGCUGGCGGCGUGCCUAACACAUGCAAGUCGAACGAAGCUAUUUUGGAAACUCCUUCGGGAGUGGAAUCUUUAGUUUAGUGGCGGACGGGUGAGUAACGCGUGAGCAAUCUGCCUUUAAGAGGGGGAUAACAGUCGGAAACGGCUGCUAAUACCGCAUAAAGCAUCAAAUUCGCAUGUUUUUGAUGCCAAAGGAGCAAUCCGCUUUUAGAUGAGCUCGCGU